rnacentral:rRNA from 1 species
GUAGGGUCCAAGCGUUAUCCGGAAUCACUGGGCGUAAAGCGUGCGUAGGUGGAUGUUUAAGUGAGAGGUUAAAUCGUGUGGCUCAACCAUAUCGAUGCCUCUCAUACUGGGCAUCUAGAGGACAGCAGAGGCAAGUGGAACUGGUAGUGUAGCAGUGAAAUGCGUAGAUAUUACCAAGAACACCAAUGGCGAAGGCAGCUUGCUGGGCUACUCCUGACACUGAGGUACGAAAGCGUGGGGAGCGAACAGGAUUAGAUACCCUGGUAGUCCACGCCGUAAACGAUGCAUACUAGACGUAUGGGGUAUCGACCCCCUGUGCGUCGCAGCUAACGCGAUAAGUAUGCCGCCUGGGAAGUACGGCCGCAAGGCUA